rnacentral:rRNA from 1 species
UACGGAGGGUGCGAGCGUUGUCCGGAUUUAUUGGGCGUAAAGAGCUCGUAGGCGGCUUGUCGCGUCGACUGUGAAAUCCCGCGGCUCAACUGCGGGUCUGCAGUCGAUACGGGCAGGCUAGAGUUCGGUAGGGGAGACUGGAAUUCCUGGUGUAGCGGUGAAAUGCGCAGAUAUCAGGAGGAACACCGAUGGCGAAGGCAGGUCUCUGGGCCGAUACUGACGCUGAGGAGCGAAAGCGUGGGGAGCGAACAGG